rnacentral:rRNA from 1 species
GAUGAACGCUAGCUACAGGCUUAACACAUGCAAGUCGAGGGGAAACGACAUCGAAAGCUUGCUUUUGAUGGGCGUCGACCGGCGCACGGGUGAGUAACGCGUAUCCAACCUGCCCAUCACUUGGGAAUAACCUUGCGAAAGUAAGACUAAUACCCAAUGACAUCCCACGAAGACAUCUGAAUGGGAUUAAAGAUUUAUCGGUGAUGGAUGGGGAUGCGUCUGAUUAGCUUGUUGGCGGGGUAACGGCCCACCAAGGCAACGAUCAGUAGGGGUUCUGAGAGUAAGGUCCCCCACAUGGGAACUGAGACACGGUCCAAACUCCUACGGGAGGCAGCAGUGAGGAAUAUUGGUCAAUGGGCGAGAGCCUGAACCAGCCAAGUAGCGUGCAGGAUGACGGCCCUAUGGGUUGUAAACUGCUUUUAGAAGGGAAUAAAGUGGGUCUCGUGAGACUUUUUGCAUGUACCUUAUGAAUAAGGACCGGCUAAUUCCGUG